rnacentral:rRNA from 1 species
AUUGAACGCUGGCGGCAUGCCUUACACAUGCAAGUCGAACGGCAGCACGGGAGCAAUCCUGGUGGCGAGUGGCGAACGGGUGAGUAAUAUAUCGGAACGUGCCCAGUCGUGGGGGAUAACGUAGCGAAAGCUACGCUAAUACCGCAUACGACCUAUGGAUGAAAGCGGGGGAUCGCAAGACCUCGCGCGAUUGGAGCGGCCGAUAUCAGAUUAGGUAGUUGGUGAGGUAAAGGCUCACCAAGCCGACGAUCUGUAGCUGGUCUGAGAGGACGACCAGCCACACUGGGACUGAGACACGGCCCAGACUCCUACGGGAGGCAGCAGUGGGGAAUUUUGGACAAUGGGCGCAAGCCUGAUCCAGCAAUGCCGCGUGC